GCCAGGUUAGCUCAGUUGGUAGAGCAUGAGACUCCACUUCUCAGGGUCGUGGGUUUGAAUCCCACUCCAGGUGGCA